CCUACGGGAGGCAGCAGUCGGGAAUUUUGCGCAAUGGGGGAAACCCUGACGCAGCAAUACCGCGUGUGGGAUGAAGGCCUUCGGGUCGUAAACCACUUUUUUCGGGGACGAUAAUGACGGUACCCGAAGAAUAAGCCACGGCUAACUACGUGCCAGCAGCCGCGGUAAU
rnacentral:rRNA from 1 species